rnacentral:snRNA from 1 species
GGAUGUGAGGGCAACCUGGCUGCAACAUCUGUCACUCCGUUGAUCGCCAGGGUUGAUUCGGCCAAUCUGGCUGGCUGGUGGGUGUCCCCGUCCUCCCUCAGCGCUCCAUAUGUGUCCCUCCUGAAGCUUCCUGCUUGGUCGAGCAGGAUGAGCACCCCCGAUAGAGGAGGACCAUUCAUCAGUCAAGGGUAUACAAGUAGCUGCGCUCCUGGUAGAACAUCCAAACCAGCUCUCAAAUUAAUCCUAUGUGAUCCAUUUGAUAGCUUUAUAUAUAAUCACUAAAAAUUAAUCUUUUAAUGAUAAUGAUU